rnacentral:lncRNA from 1 species
CGUUCCCAAGAAGAUGGGGAGAAAGGGCACUGGCAACCCCAUGCAGUGAGAUCAGCCCCAGCCAGCCCAGGAGUCCCUGACAGGUGCCCAGGGCUGCCUCUCCAUGGUCCUAGAGCCCCUCGCUUAUGUGCUGAGCACCGACUGAGAAUGAAGGUGAAGGGUCCUUGCUCUGGCCUUGGGUUCAGACUCAGGAGGGAGGUGGAUGCAGG